rnacentral:rRNA from 1 species
AGUGAAGCGGGAUGAGCUCAAAUUUAAAAUCUGGCUGGUUUACUAGUCCGAAUUGUAGUUUAAAGAAGCGUUUUCGGUGGCAGUCUCGGUAUAAAUCCUUUGGAAUAGGGUAUCAUAGAGGGUGAGAAUCCCGUCUUUGACUGAGAAUUUGCUACUAUGUGAUACGUUUUCAAAGAGUCGAGUUGUUUGGGAAUGCAGCUCAAAAUGGGUGGUAAAUUUCAUCUAAAGCUAAAUAUUGGCGAGAGACCGAUAGCGAACAAGUACCGUGAGGGAAAGAUGAAAAGAACUUUGAAAAGAGAGUUAAACAGUGCGUGAAAUUGUUGAAAGGGAAACGCUUGAAACCAGUCAUGUAGUUGGAAAAUCAGUGUUCAAUUGGAGGGAAUGGGGGAGGUGUGGACCGCAAGGCUGCUCUUUUCUAUAUCUCUUUUGUUGGGCAUGCACUUUUUCUUCCGCAGGUCAACAUCAGUUUCUUUUGCUGGACAAAACUCUUGAGAAGGUAGCAGCUUAGGCUGUGUUAUAGCUCUGGAGCGAUACAGUGGAGGGGACUGAGGUUUUCGCAGCAUGUGCUCUCGGGCAAGGCCGGUUGGGUGCUAUGGGAUCGUUCGGGGUACAAUACAUGUAUUUUGCUUCGUGUCUUUUCUAUACUCGCUUAAUUGUGCUCUUCCAUGCUUAGGAUGUUGACUUAAUGGUUUUAAUCGACC